UGGUCUUCAUGGUUACCCUUACAAAAACACUGACUUUGGUUCUCAAUACAGUAAGUGCUUUUUGUUGGGGUAGUUUUUGCUGA
ensembl:miRNA